GACGCAUUAAAGGCGGCGUGCUUACACAUGCAAGUCGAACGGUAACCCUCCAGAUUGCUGGGGUACACGAGUGGCGAACGGGUGAGUAACACGUGGGUGACCUGCCCUGCACUUCGGGAUAAGCCUGGGAAACUGGGUCUAAUACCGGAUAGGACCGCACCGUGAGGGUGUGGUGGAAAGUUUUUUCGGUGUGGGAUGGGCCCGCGGCCUAUCAGCUUGUUGGUGGGGUAAUGGCCUACCAAGGCGGCGACGGGUAGCCGGCCUGAGAGGGUGGACGGCCACAUUGGGACUGAGACACGGCCCAGACUCCUACGGGAGGCAGCAGUGGGGAAUAUUGCACAAUGGGCGGAAGCCUGAUGCAGCGACGCCGCGUGGGGGAUGACGGCCUUCGGGUUGUAAACUCCUUUCACCAUCGACGAAGGGUUUCUGACGGUAGAUGGAGAAGAAGCACCGGCUAACUACGUGCCAGCAGCCGCGGUAAUACGUAGGGUGCGAGCGUUGUCCGGAAUUACUGGGCGUAAAGAGCUCGUAGGUGGUUUGUCGCGUCGUCUGUGAAUUCCGGGGCUUAACUCCGGGCGUGCAGGCGAUACGGGCAUAACUUGAGUACUGUAGGGGAGACUGGAAUUCCUGGUGUAGCGGUGAAAUGCGCAGAUAUCAGGAGGAACACCGGUGGCGAAGGCGGGUCUCUGGGCAGUAACUGACGCUGAGGAGCGAAAGCAUGGGGAGCGAACAGGAUUAGAUACCCUGGUAGUCCAUGCCGCAAACGGUGGGCGCUAGGUGUGGGUUUCCUUCCACGGGAUCCGUGCCGUAGCUAACGCAUUAAGCGCCCCGCCUGGGGAGUACGGCCGCAAGGCUAAAACUCAAAGGAAUUGACGGGGGCCCGCACAAGCGGCGGAGCAUGUGGAUUAAUUCGAUGCAACGCGAAGAACCUUACCUGGGCUUGACAUAUACAGGAUCGCGCCAGAGAUGGUGUUUCCCUUGUGGCUUGUAUACAGGUGGUGCAUGGUUGUCGUCAGCUCGUGUCGUGAGAUGUUGGGUUAAGUCCCGCAACGAGCGCAACCCUUGUCUUAUGUUGCCAGCACGUUGUGGUGGGGACUCGUAAGAAACUGCCGGGGUUAACUCGGAGGAAGGUGGGGAUGACGUCAAAUCAUCAUGCCCCUUAUGUCCAGGGCUUCACACAUGCUACAAUGGUCGGUACAGUGGGUUGCCAGUCCGUGAGGGCGAGCUAAUCCCGCAAAGCCGGUCUCAGUUCGGAUCGGGGUCUGCAACUCGACCCCGUGAAGUCGGAGUCGCUAGUAAUCGCAGAUCAGCAACGCUGCGGUGAAUACGUUCCCGGGCCU
rnacentral:rRNA from 1 species